rnacentral:pre_miRNA from 1 species
GGGGGAGCGCCAGAUCCUGGGCUGUGUCCCCCGGCACCCUGGGCUCGGGUCCUGCGCCAUUGGAAUUGCACUCCCGGGGCCUCACAAUCCCCU